GUGUGAAACCCCAGCAGCACCCAAGAUUGAAAAGAACCUGCAAUUCUUUCCAGAAUUUCCUCGCUGACUGAAGACAAUCCAAUGACACUGCUCUGGUGGCAGAGAGAUAGAGCCCCUUGAGGUCAUCCAGAGAGGUCAACCCAAGAAGAAGUGAUUGGAUUCCCUAUUGUAUACAGUGCCUUGAAUCUAUGCCAUGCUUAAUAGUUCAUAAUUUGACUUCAAAGUUUUCGAAGGCAGAAAUAGAAUACAGAAACUUCUAGAAGAGGUCAGUGUGACAAGAUGAAUGAGAUGACAAUUUAGUCUGAGAUGAGAGGUGCUGCACGAACAUCAGGACAUGGAACCUGUGAGCAAUAUAUACUUGUGAA
rnacentral:lncRNA from 1 species